ACUCCUACGGGAGGCAGCAGUCGAGAAUUUUUCUCAAUGAGGGAAACCCUGAAGGAGCGACGCCGCGUGGGGGAUGAAGGGCUUCGGCCCGUAAACCCCUGUCAUUUGCGAACAAACCUCACUUGUUAAUAGUAGGUGAGUUGAUUGUAGUGAAAGAGGAAGGGACGGCUAACUCUGUGCCAGCAGCCGCGGUAAU
rnacentral:rRNA from 1 species